AACCUUUAAAUUCUAGAUUGUAGCAAUAAUGGAAGAGAUAGAAGACAUUUAUGUACAAAUACUAUUCCUUUUCCCAGCACCAAUAUACUUCUUUCUAUCACAGCUUCAGUUUAAAAGCAUUCAAGGAGUUUCUGAAGCCUACAGCUUGUGAAGAAGAGUGCCUCAUCUGCUGGAAGAACACACUUUACAUAAAAGAGGAUGAGAUUUGGAGAAUGAGAACAUUACUGGAGCCUGACGUGGGGGAAACCAACAAGCCAGGAAGGACGAAAUCAGUUGAGGGAGAUUUGAACCGCUACUCAAGUGUGCAGAGUACCAGGGAGAGCCCCAACAGGUCCUUGAGGAGGCAUCUAAGAACAACCCAAGCAAAUGCAAAUCCUGGAAGAGCAGACCCUGAUGUCAUUGUCUUCUCAAGCAGGAAUGACACUGACCAGCCCCUCCACAAACGCAGAUGGAGCAGCGCCUGACUCAGCAUACCCCAGUUUGCCUCAUGUGUCCAUAAACAGCAAAUACAAAUUUCCCCCUUUAGAAUCAGAGAACCUCAGAGUUGGAAAGGUAUUUAGAGAUCACAUACAGUAGCCCUCUUGUUUUUCUUAUGAAUCAGGACCUGGGGGAACCCGGGUGGCUCAGUGGUUGAGCAUCUGCUUUUGGCCUAGUUGUCAUCCAGGGGACCUGGGAUCAAGUAUUGCAUUGGGCACCCCGUGGGGAGCCUGCUUCUCCCUCUGCCUGUGUCUCUGCCUCUCUCUGUGUGUCUCUCAUUAACGAUUAAGUAAAAUCUUUAAAAAGAAAAAAAACAACAACAUUGGGGCCUGGGCCCAGGGAAAUGAAGCCAUUGGCCCAGCGGUUAUUAUUAUUAUUAGCUGAGUUAAAACUAGAGGUAAAAGUUUCUUACCCUCUAGCCAGACACCAUCCACUCACUACAGAAUGUGCUUGCUUGGUAUUCAAGAGUAGCAUUGGAACCAAAGUCCUG
rnacentral:lncRNA from 1 species